rnacentral:misc_RNA from 1 species
GAAAUGCGAUAAGUAGUGUGAAUUGCAGAAUUCAGUGAAUCAUCGAAUCUUUGAACGCACAUUACGCCCUUUGGUAUUCCAAAGGGCAUGCCUGUUCGAGCGUCAUUUGUACCCUCAAGCUUUGCUUGGUGUUGGGCGUCUUGUCUCCAGUUCGCUGGAGACUCGCCUUAAAGUAAUUGGCAGCCGGCCUACUGGUUUCGGAGCGCAGCACAAGUCGCGCUCUCUUCCAGCCAAGGUCAGCAUCCACAAAGCCUUUUUUCAACUUUUGACCUCGGAUCAGGUAGGGAUACCCGCUGAACUUAAGC